GUACUGCUGGUUCCUCAUCUAUGGAUCAGAAACCAGCCUGAGGACCCGUCAGAAGGUACUGCUGGUUCCUCAUCAAUGGAUCAUGAACCAGCCUGAGGACCCGUCAGAAGGUACUGCUGGUUCCUCAUCGAUGGAUCAUGAACCAGCCUGAGGACCCGUCAGAAGGUACUGCUGGUUCCUCAUCUAUGGAUCAGAAACCAGCCUGAGGACCUGUCAGAAGGUACUGCUGGUUCCUCAUCAAUGGAUCAUGAACCAGCCUGAGGACCCGUCAGAAGGUACUGCUGGUUCCUCAUCAAUGGAUCAUGAACCAGCCUGAGGACCCGUCAGAAGGUACUGCUGGUUCCUCAUCAAUGGAUCAUGAACCAGCCUGAGGACCCGUCAGAAGGUACUGCUGGUUCCUCAUCUAUGGGUCAUGAACCAGCCUGAGGACCUGUGACGAUGGGGAGGAGUUCACAAACAACUGCUUUAUAGUUUUAAACGUUUUAAGUAUUUCUUGAUACAGAAGUGUUGAUCUCUAUCUUUGUCUGAUAAGUUUAAUAUUUGAUAAGUUUAAGCUGAACAAACUCCUUUGACCUCGUUGGUUUCAUCCGUGUGCAAAAAGUGCUCACUGUUAACAAAGUGGAAACCAGAGAAGCAGCUUUCAUGUUUGUGUUAUAAAGAAACCAAAACACUUAUUCCAGUUAUUGCAUAAUAGUCAAAGUAAAUCUCGAUUUACUGAAAAUACGUCAAAUGAAAAACGGUCCCCAAAGCUGUUGAAGUUCGACGUUAAAGCUCACCGGCGCUUUGAAACCCUCCAAUCAAGCUGCAGAUCUUCAGCAGCUUAUUUCACAUUCUUAAACGUGAAAAGAAACGUUAAAUCCCAAUUCAAUUAUACUUAAUUAUAAAAACCAAAUAGUUUGUUUCUCCAGCUCUGCUUCAUUCAUCACGUGGCUAAACGGUUUACAAACUAAUCCAAAAAUUACCCAAUAUGAUCAAGAAUUUGGGAUAAAUGUGUCAAUGAAAGGACACAAUACAUUUUCCCCUGAAGGCACGGAGACUGUGUGGUUUGAAUAUUCUACUCAGACAGUAAUAAACUCAUUUUAACCACCUUAAGGCUACUUAGCUACAGCAGCGGGAUGGGAUUAUAUGAAUAAAAUCUCUCCUCCACUUCUGGUCGUUUAAACUUUUAGGCCUUUCGUGUGAUUAAUUAUCUUGUUAAUAUAUUUGAUCCCACAGCUGUUUCAUUUCUGCUUUCCCACCAAAAUAUGUAAUAAGAAAAAACAUCAGGGCCUUUUCAUACUCGACUACCAGAAUAAUGAUCUCUGGUGUUGACCUGUCAAUCACCGUGUAGCCCCGCCCUAAAGCGUCCGCUGCUUUAUGGUCUGUUUGACUCUAAAUGGACCAUCAGUCACUAAAUGAACAUCAUGUUGUGUUGAAGAAGACGUGAAACUAGAGACUGAGACCAUAAACUCAUGUUUACAAUGUUUACUGAGGGAAUAAAUCAAGAGAGAAGUAGAGUCAUUUCCUCAUAGACGUCUAUGGGAGCAGAGGAGUCGCCCCCUGCUGGUCACUACAGAGAAGUAGAGUCAUUUCCUCAUAGACGUCUAUGGGAGCAGAGGAGUCGCCCCCUGCUGGUCACUACAGAGAAGUAGAGUCAUUUCCUCAUAG
ensembl:lncRNA